AGAGUUUGAUCCUGGCUCAGAUUGAACGCUGGCGGCAUGCCUUACACAUGCAAGUCGAACGGUAACAGGUUAAGCUGACGAGUGGCGAACGGGUGAGUAAUAUAUCGGAACGUGCCCAGUCGUGGGGGAUAACUGCUCGAAAGAGCAGCUAAUACCGCAUACGACCUGAGGGUGAAAGCGGGGGAUCGCAAGACCUCGCGCGAUUGGAGCGGCCGAUAUCAGAUUAGGUAGUUGGUGGGGUAAAAGCCCACCAAGCCAACGAUCUGUAGCUGGUCUGAGAGGACGACCAGCCACACUGGGACUGAGACACGGCCCAGACUCCUACGGGAGGCAGCAGUGGGGAAUUUUGGACAAUGGGCGCAAGCCUGAUCCAGCCAUGCCGCGUGCGGGAAGAAGGCCUUCGGGUUGUAAACCGCUUUUGUCAGGGAAGAAAAGGUUCUGGUUAAUACCUGGGACUCAUGACGGUACCUGAAGAAUAAGCACCGGCUAACUACGUGCCAGCAGCCGCGGUAAUACGUAGGGUGCAAGCGUUAAUCGGAAUUACUGGGCGUAAAGCGUGCGCAGGCGGUUAUGCAAGACAGAUGUGAAAUCCCCGGGCUCAACCUGGGAACUGCAUUUGUGACUGCAUGGCUAGAGUGCGGCAG
rnacentral:rRNA from 1 species